rnacentral:rRNA from 1 species
UACGUAGGGUGCAAGCGUUAAUCGGAAUUACUGGGCGUAAAGCGUGCGCAGGCGGUUAUGUAAGACAGUUGUGAAAUCCCCGGGCUCAACCUGGGAACUGCAUCUGUGACUGCAUAGCUAGAGUACGGUAGAGGGGGAUGGAAUUCCGCGUGUAGCAGUGAAAUGCGUAGAUAUUGGGAGGAACACCAGUGGCGAAGGCGGCUCACUGGACCGGAACUGACGCUGAGGCGCGAAAGCGUGGGGAGCAAACGGG